rnacentral:rRNA from 1 species
CCUACGGGUGACAGCAGUGAGGAAUAUUGGUCAAUGGACGAGAGUCUGAACCAGCCAAGUCGCGUGAAGGCUGACUGCCCUAUGGGUUGUAACCUUCUUUUAUCUGGGAAUAAAAUGUUCCACGUGUGGGAUUUUGUAUGUAACAUAUGAAUAAGGAUCGGCUAACUCCGUGCCAGCAGCCGCGGUAAUACGGCGGAUCCGAUCGUUAUCCGGAAUUAUUGGGUUUAAAGGGAGCGUAGGGUGGUUGUUAAGUCAGUUGGGAAAGUUUGUGGCUCAACCGUAAAAUGGCAGUUGAAACUGGCAGUCUUGAGUACAGUAGAGGUAUGCGGAAUGCGUGGUGUAGCGGGUAAAUGCUUAGAUAUCACGAAGAACUCCGAUUGCGAAGGCAGCUCACUGGACUGCAACUGACACUGAGGCUCGAAAGUGUGGGUAUCAAACAGGAUUAGAUACCCUGGUAGGC